rnacentral:rRNA from 1 species
CGAGCGAAUCGAUGGGAGCUUGCUCCCUGAGAUUAGCGGCGGACGGGUGAGUAACACGUGGGCAACCUGCCUAUAAGACUGGGAUAACUUCGGGAAACCGGAGCUAAUACCGGAUACGUUCUUUUCUCGCAUGAGAGAAGAUGGAAAGACGGUUUACGCUGUCACUUAUAGAUGGGCCCGCGGCGCAUUAGCUAGUUGGUGAGGUAAUGGCUCACCAAGGCGACGAUGCGUAGCCGACCUGAGAGGGUGAUCGGCCACACUGGGACUGAGACACGGCCCCAGACUCCUACGGGAGGCAGCAGUAGGGAAUCUUCCGCAAUGGACGAAAGUCUGACGGAGCAACGCCCGCGUGAACGAAAGAUUUCGGGU